ACGAGAAUAUUCGACAAUGGACGAAAGUCUGAUCGAGCGACGCCGCGUGGAGGAUGAAGUGCUUCGGCAUGUAAACUCCUUUUGCCAGGGAAAAAGUUUAUUGAUUGUACCUGGAGAAUAAGAGGUUGCUAAACUCGUGCCAGCAGCAGCGGUAAUACGAGUGCCUCGAGCGUUAUCCGGAAUCAUUGGGCGUAAAGGGUGCGUAGGCGGCGAUGUUAGUCUCCCGUAAAAUCUUUCGGCUCAACCGAGAGUCCGCGGGGGAAACGGCAUUGCUUGAGGACGGGAGAGGUUUCUGGAACUCAUGGUGUAGCGGUGAAAUGCGUUGAUAUCAUGGGGAACACCAAAAGCGAAGGCAAGAAACUGGCCCGCUCCUGACGCUGAAGCACGAAAGCGUGGGUCGCGAAUGGGAUUAGAUACCCGUGUAGUCC
rnacentral:rRNA from 1 species